AUGAAUUUGUCACUUAGUGGGGAACUGGUGGGACUAAUCAGACUACUUCCUUUGCUCUCUGGUCAUAGACAUGAUUGCCAAGUUUCUAAAGUGACACCUGGGGUUAUAACCUCAGUCCAAGAAUGUGUCUCCCCUGUCCUGGCAUGUGACCGGCAGAUGUGCGGAGGCCAGAUGUUCAUUUUGCCUUCAUUUCAGCUAAAGGAUGAUAUCUGUAUUUGUAAGAGUUCCCUAUCAAAGCAGGCUGAGGAGAACUGGGAGUGUCUAGCACGUUCUCCUUUGUCAACCUUCAUAGCUGUGUGUCCCUCCUUCAGCAUCUAUAUCUAUACAGUGUUUCAAAUUGUUUUCAAUCACAUGAGAGAAACGAUUGAUGAACUGAGAUAUCAAUGGGUUGGAUGCACUGGAGCUGUCAGCUGAGGUCCCCUUUCAGUUCUGGAGGAGCCAGGACCUAAGGGAAUGGGGAUCCCCAACCUGCAGCCUCAGUCUUUCCACAGGAGUCACAGGUUCCUGCUAAGUAUCAACAGCUACACAGAGCCAGCUUCCCAGCCUUCCCACCUGAUAAGUACUAUUAUUCUUCCCAUGUUUAUAUAUAAUAAUUUAUUGUGGGUCACAAAAUAAGUUAUUUCAGAAACAGAAUCCAAAACCAGUUUUCAAGCACCCAGAACCUAUGUCCUGGGUGUCUAGAAAUUUGAGAACCACAAAAUGACAACAGUACACACUAAAGAAAAUUAAAACUCAGUGAAAAGCAGAAACCCAGUACAGACAGGCUUUAUCAGGUGAGAUUAAGGGACGGGUGGUGGGCCAGCACAGUAAGAGUAGGUGGGCAGGAGCAAUGGUAACAGAAGCAGGGAAAUCAGAAGCAUGAGGGGAGCAGAUGGAGAGAGUGACCUAGAAGCUCCUCACAAGCAAAACUUCAAGGUUGAGAGUUGUAGUUGGGGGACUAUAAAACGAACAAAUAACAACAACACAACCCAAACAGUUUUAGGAAAUGUAAGUCUGACUAUAUCCAUAGUUGAUUGGUUACUAACAAAGCUGAUUGGUUCCCAUAGUUGAUUGAUGGCCAGCAAAGAUGUUUCCACCAUUGCAAUUUAACAAGUGUCUGUGCUGUGCUAGCUGGGAGGGAUGGAAAGAGCAGCAAUGACAUACCACAGACACCUCACUGAUCCUCAGAUGGAUGGCAGUGGAGACAGUGAACAAGACAGAGUGAGUGCCUAAGAUCCUGACGGGAGAAAUGACAGAGCUUAGCUAAGCCAUGUGAGGGUCAUUUAUAAAAUCAGUUAAUGUCUGGUCCACCAAAGAUUGUCACAUUAAGUAAUCCCCAUGUUCUGGAGCACUGGCGUAAUGCUGUAUUUCUUGACUAACUUUUCCCUCCCUGAUAAAGUUUCGUUUUGCUGUUUUCAAACUGUUUAAUAAAUACCUAGUGAGAUGUCUUCA
rnacentral:lncRNA from 1 species